GGUCCUGGAAGUCACCUGGAAACAAGGGUAAACAUGUAAACAUGGUAGACCCCACUCCUGAGAUUAGGGCCAGACAAAACAUAACUAUACUAAUCAGCCUGCAGACCUGCUUCUGUAUUCAGAAUUUGGAAUUCUCCAUGUCUCAUCUUGCUUGUGAUCAUAACAAUCCAUUUAACAGAUGACAAAACUAAGGCCCUGAGAGCAGAGAAGGAACAUUUGGACACCAGGAGACCUGGAGCUAUGACUAGCCUGAAUGCCAACUUUGGGCAUUUGGCAAUCAUUGCCUGAUCAAUGGUACCAUUCCCCAAACUGUACCAUGAGAGCUGAAACACAGAACCAGGGUCCUCAGAGAGAGGAGUGACACUCAGGUUUUUGAGGAUCAAGAGAGCAGGGAUGAAGACACAUGAAGACGAAGUGGUUUCCAGAGUCUCUGCCAUCACUCAUCCACUGUGCAGAGUUUUCUAGCUGCUGCUUCUGCGAGGAAAGAGGCCAGCGCUGGCUCCUGGUGUUGGCUUGUGUGUGUUCUCCCCUCGUAGGCUGCUUCCACUUGGAGGAUUUUAAUAGCAUUUUGUCGUCAAGGGGAUUUCUCCUUAAACACACGCAUGAGUGCAGAAGGGGAAAGAAAAACCUUGAGCAGGAAAGCUUAAUGACUGCAGCAAGCGGCACUGUCUCUUUAAGAUCCCUCCCCCAUUGGUCUCCAGAAGAAGAAUCCUCAGCGAUCUACAGGCAAGAGAUUUGCUCUCUAAACUCCUCCUUCUCCCAGAAGAGCUCUCCUACCCAGAAUCCCUCAUGCUGAGCGAGCAGCGCAGACAGAAAUAGCAGUGAUCUACAUGAAUUGUGGAUCCACGCACUCAUUCCAAGAUCUUCUUUCAGCGAGCAAUGGAUUCUUCAUGCAUGUGAUCCUCACUACCUACCCUACAAAGACCUUGCUAAUGCUUAGAGAUCAAAUUAUUUGUGUAUCUUUUCAGUGGAGGAAAUGAUCCAUCCACCUGAUAGUGUGUGAGCUUGUAUCCCUUCCUUCUUUUUCCCUCUCAUGGGAAAACAAAUCAACUGUUUUUCCUUUUCCUUCUCAUAGACUGCAAGUCAUGCUAUCUUUCACCGAGGAGGAAAAGUUGCAUCUGAGUUAUUGCUGUGAAGAAGUAGUUUGCAGGCAUGGGCAGCUGGCAUCUUUUUGUCUCUAUGUGAAGAAGAUCAAUGCAAUUCAUGUUUUCUUGUUCGCACAAAGCUAGAUUUGAAAAUUCCUGGAAAAUCAAGGAAAUGUUUAGAGAAAUUGUUAAAAUUUGGGGAAACAGGAAAUCUGAGAGGAGGGUCAGGUUUUCAUAGUCUGGAUAUGCUAUCGGAGAAGUGAGAAGGGGUGAGAAGAUGGGUAGGGUGAGCUUCUUUCUUUUCUAGGCACUCAUCCCCUGAUUGGCCAAUGUGUUGGUUUCCUAGGGCUGCUGUAACAAAUAAAGCAAUA